CCGUUUCGGCUAUUGGUACAACCGUUGACCGUCUGCUGCACUCUCUGUGUACAGCUACAGGCCAAAACGCAGACUUCGGGCAUUUCUGCAACCUUCAAAAGGUAUACAAUUUCAUCCCUCCAUUCAAAUAGCAUGGAGGGCCGGUGCAUUAGCUGUGGAAUCUAGGGGUGUAGGCGAACCAAACUGAACCAAGCCCGAAGAGGCUCAAACUCAGCUUGAUGAUUUUCUUGUAAGCUCGAGCUCGAACUUGGUCGAGUCAGAAUAUCCGAGCUCUAGCGUGACUUGUUAUACAAAUCAAAGCCUCGAACUUGUACAGGCUCGAAUAAAUUCGAAUUUGUCUAGGCUUGAUUA